rnacentral:rRNA from 1 species
UUGAACGCUGGCGGCAGGCCUAACACAUGCAAGUCGAGCGGAUGAAGGGAGCUUGCUCCUGGAUUCAGCGGCGGACGGGUGAGUAAUGCCUAGGAAUCUGCCUGGUAGUGGGGGAUAACGUCCGGAAACUGGCGCUAAUACCGCAUACGUCCUGAGGGAGAAAGUGGGGGAUCUUCGGACCUCACGCUAUCAGAUGAGCCUAGGUCGGAUUAGCUAGUUGGUGGGGUAAAGGCCUACCAAGGCGACGAUCCGUAACUGGUCUGAGAGGAUGAUCAGUCACACUGGAACUGAGACACGGUCCAGACUCCUACGGGAGGCAGCAGUGGGGAAUAUUGGACAAUGGGCGAAAGCCUGAUCCAGCCAUGCCGCGUGUGUGAAGAAGGUCUUCGGAUUGUAAAGCACUUUAAGUUGGGAGGAAGGGCAGUAAGUUAAUACCUUGCUGUUUUGACGUUACCAACAGAAUAAGCACCGGCUAACUUCGUG